rnacentral:rRNA from 1 species
AGGGCAAGUCUGGUGCCAGCAGCCGCGGUAAUUCCAGCUCCAAUAGCGUAUAUUAAAGUUGUUGCAGUUAAAAAGCUCGUAGUUGAAUUUCGGGGUUCUACCGUUGGUCGGGCUUUGUCUGUACUGGCGUGUAGAAUUUCUACCUUCUGGGGAACCAUUAUGUUAUUAAUUUAGCGUAGUGGGAAACCAGGACCUUUACCUUGAAAAAAUUAGAGUGUUCAAAGCAGGCUUAUGUCUGAAUACAUUAGCAUGGAAUAAUAGAAUAGGACGGUGGUCCUGCUUUGUUGGUUUCUGAAUCACCGUAAUGAUUAAUAGGGAUAGUUGGGGGCAUUAGUAUUCAAUUGUCAGAGGUGAAAUUCUUGGAUUUAUUGAAGACUAACUUCUGCGAAAGCAUUUGCCAAGGAUGUUUUCAUUAAUCAAGAACGAAAGUUAGGGGAUCGAAGACGAUCAGAUACCGUCGUAGUCUUAACCAUAAACUAUGCCGACUAGGGAUCGGACGAUGUUAAUUUUUCUUGACUCGUUCGGCGCCUUACGGGAA